rnacentral:rRNA from 1 species
AGAGCGAACGCUGGCGGCAGGCUUAACACAUGCAAGUCGAGCGGGCGUAGCAAUACGUCAGCGGCAGACGGGUGAGUAACGCGUGGGAACAUACCUUUUGGUUCGGAACAACCCAGGGAAACUUGGGCUAAUACCGGAUAAGCCCUUACGGGGAAAGAUUUAUCGCCGAAAGAUUGGCCCGCGUCUGAUUAGCUAGUUGGUGAGGUAACGGCUCACCAAGGCGACGAUCAGUAGCUGGUCUGAGAGGAUGAUCAGCCACAUUGGGACUGAGACACGGCCCAAACUCCUACGGGAGGCAGCAGUGGGGAAUAUUGGACAAUGGGCGCAAGCCUGAUCCAGCCAUGCCGCGUGAGUGAUGAAGGCCCUAGGGUUGUAAAGCUUCUUUUGUGCGGGAAGAUAAUGACGGUACCGCAAGAAUAACGCCCCGGCUAACUUCGCGCCAGCAGCCGC